CAGCGAGUAUUUUAUUUAAAAUAUUAAUUUUGGGGAUUAAAGAAAGGAUAAUUUUUCUCUUGCUGA
rnacentral:tRNA from 1 species